rnacentral:lncRNA from 1 species
UCAAAGGCACACAUACAUUAAAUGUUGACUUAAGACAUAUUUGUCCACAUACACUUCCCAUAUAUGUUCCCUUCAAGUAUAAAUUAGAAGCUUAACAUACAAUUUUUCUAUAUACUACUCAAUCUUCAAGAAAACCCUUUCUCCAUCUCUUACAAAAUCAAACACUAAUCUCAUCAUGGGACAUAAUAGAGAAGAAACUAUUGUUAGCAGUGGCGGAGGCAGGAAUUCUAUCAAGGGGGUUCAAAUAAAAAAAAUGUUGUUGCCUGGAAUCGAACCCGUGACCCAAAGCUCACAUAGGCUGAAUCCUGACCCCCAUAAACCACUGAGCUAUUCCUUUGACAUAUGCUCAGGGGGUUCAAUUUUAAAUAUAUACAAGUACACAAAAAAAUUGAUCUUAUAUAUAUAGUGUAAUUUUUUUUCCGAGGGGGGUCGGAUGACCCCCUGGACACACUAUAGAUCCGCCCCUGAUUGUUAGGACUAAAAAACUUGCCAUAGACAAUGGUCUCCAAAGAACAAUAUCUGAUAUCUCAUUUGAACUUAGCAAAGAAGUAGCAUUAGUAGUAUCUGAUCAUAAUAAUAUUGAGAAGAAUGUGCUUCCACCUAUUUCUGAAGUUGGAGAUACAAAGUGUGAGUGUUGUGGUAUGUCUGAAGAAUGCACACUUGAAUAUGUUAAGAGAGUUAAGGAGAAAUAUUCAGGGAAGUUGAUUUGUGGUUUGUGUUCUGAGGCUAACUUUGAAAACAAGAAUGAACAUACAUUAUUAUUAGAGUGUACUCAUCUAUGCAAUGAAUUAUAUCUAGUUGAUUCAAGAUUAAUCUCUCUUUUUCUUUGUCUCUCUCCUCCAACUCACUCAAAGGCACACACAUACAUUAAAUGUUGACUUGAGACAUAUUUGUCCACAUACACUUCCCAUAUAUGUUUCCUUCAAGUAUAAAUUAGAAGCUUAACAUACAAUUUUUGUAUAUACUACUCAAUCUCCAAGAAAACCCUUUUUCCAUCUCUUACAAAACCAAACACUAAUCUUUAUUAUAAUCUCAUCAUGGGACAUAAUAGAGAAGAAACUAUUGUUAGCAGUGGCGGAGGCAGGAAUUCUAUCAAGGGGGUUCAAAUAAAAAAAAUGUUGUUGCCUGGAAUCGAACCCGUGACCCAAAGCUCACAUAGGCUGAAUCCUGACCCCCAUAAACCACUGAGCUAUUCCUUUGACAUAUGCUCAGGGGGUUCAAUUUUAAAUAUAUACAAGUACACAAAAAAAUUGAUCUUAUAUAUAUAGUGUAAUUUUUUUUCCGAGGGGGGUCGGAUGACCCCCUGGACACACUAUAGAUCCGCCCCUGAUUGUUAGGACUAAAAAACUUGCCAUAGACAAUGGUCUCCAAAGAACAAUAUCUGAUAUCUCAUUUGAACUUAGCAAAGAAGUAGCAUUAGUAGUAUCUGAUCAUAAUAAUAUUGAGAAGAAUGUGCUUCCACCUAUUUCUGAAGUUGGAGAUACAAAGUGUGAGUGUUGUGGUAUGUCUGAAGAAUGCACACUUGAAUAUGUUAAGAGAGUUAAGGAGAAAUAUUCAGGGAAGUUGAUUUGUGGUUUGUGUUCUGAGGCUGUGAAGGAAGAGAUGGAGAA